GCGCGUAGUUGGCCGGGCCUUCUUCUGGAGGUACCGUCAUUUCGUCCCUCCUGAAAGCGGUUUACAACCCAAGGCCUUCAUCCCGCACGCGGUGUCGCUGCAUCAGGCUUUCGCCCAUUGUGCAAUAUUCCCU
rnacentral:rRNA from 1 species